rnacentral:rRNA from 1 species
GACGAACGCUGGCGGCGUGCCUAAUACAUGCAAGUUGAGCGCUGAAGGUUGGUACUUGUACCAACUGGAUGAGCAGCGAACGGGUGAGUAACGCGUGGGGAAUCUGCCUUUGAGCGGGGGACAACAUUUGGAAACGAAUGCUAAUACCGCAUAAAAACUUUAAACACAAGUUUUAAGUUUGAAAGAUGCAAUUGCAUCACUCAAAGAUGAUCCCGCGUUGUAUUAGCUAGUUGGUGAGGUAAAGGCUCACCAAGGCGAUGAUACAUAGCCGACCUGAGAGGGUGAUCGGCCACAUUGGGACUGAGACACGGCCCAAACUCCUACGGGAGGCAGCAGUAGGGAAUCUUCGGCAAUUGACGAAAGUCUGACCGAGCAACGCCGCGCGAGUGAAGAAGGUUGUCGGAUCGUAAAACUCUGUUGGUAGAGAAGAACGUUGGUGAGAGUGGAAAGCUCAUCAAGUGACGGUAACUACCCAGAAAGGGACGGCUAACUACGUG